AGGGAGUUAAGUAAAUUUUAGUAAAGGGAGGUCAGAGCUGUCAGGUAGUGAAACAGGGGAAAGUUUAAAGAAUAAACUGUACUAAUUGGCUAAACUAAAAAUUCUAAAAAUUUUAUGGUGGAAAGGUACAUGAGUCUAGUUUCGGGGAAAAUUUACAGAAUUCAAUUUGGAUCCCUGUAGCUCAAGAUAAAAAUAAAUUAGUGACUAUGACGCAAAAAAAUAGCUUGCUGGAAAUUGAACAAACAAUGAAAUUUAUUUGUGAUUAAAAUUAUACUAUGGUGUAACCUUGUGAGAAAUUUAUUUAUCUGUCAUAUGUUUACUUACUAAGCUGUAUGCUUACUCGUUUUUAUUUUCCCCUUGAUUAUAGUGGCAUGGAACUUGGGCGAAGUCAGAUAAUCAUCUACACUAUCAUCAACGCUUGGGUAUUUUGCAACUCAUAUUUUGGAAACAUGGCAUGUAUAGACGACUUUAUGUAUUAUGGCGUAAACAAAUAUAUAGUAUGUUUCGGUUUAAAAUGUUGAUGUUUAUUAUUAGACAAAUUGAGUAUGAUCAUACAACUGUUUUUGGUUGGAUUAUUGGAUUUGUUUGAAAGUGUGAUUGAAAACUUG
rnacentral:lncRNA from 1 species